rnacentral:lncRNA from 1 species
AUCUUCUCUGUGUAUCUGUCUUCUGUAUUGUAUAAAGACACAUCAUUUGAUUUAAGAACCACCUAAAGGAUGAUUUAUGUGAAGAUCUGUAUUUUUAAUUACAUUUGCGAACACUCUUACUCUAAAAAAUAAUAUCCACAAAUGCCUCUUCCAAAGAAGUUGAAAAGUGUUACACCUGUAGGAACCAAGGAAGAAGUUAUGGCAAAAGAAUGUAUUGAUAGAGAAGUAGAGACUCAGAUGUACAAUCAGGAUUCUCAAGAUUCCAUUGGAGAACGAGUCACUCAGGGUUAGUACACACCCAUGGAAGAUAGUGAAGAAACUUCUCAGUCUCUACAAAUAGAUCUUGGACCACUUCAAUCAGAUCAGCAAACCAAAACUUCAUGCCUGGAUGGUCAAGGCAAAGGAGAUGAUGUCAUUGUGAUUGACAGAUGAUGAAGAAGAGGAUGAUGAUGAAAAUGAUGGAGAACAUGAGGAUUAUGAAGAAGAUGAAGAUGAUGAUGACAAUGAUGAAGAUGACACAUGGAUGGGAGAUGAAGGUGAAGAUAGUAAUGAAGGAACUGGUAGUGCAGAUGGCAAUGAUGGAUAUGAAGCUGACGGUGCAGAGGGUGGUGAUGGGACUGACCCUGUCACUGAAACAGAGGAAAGUAUGGGUGGAGGUGAAAGUACUCAGAGAGCUGCUGAUUCUCAAAACAGUGAGAAUUCAGAUGACUCGGAGGCAGUCUGUAGGACAUGGGCUUCAGUUGAUUCCAGGAAUAGAUGGCAUGCAGCAGCAUUUUUUUGAUGAUGAAGACAGAACAGUUCCAAGUACCCCAACUCUUGUGGUGCCACAUAGUACUGAUGGAUUUGCUGAAGCUAUUCAUUCCCCACAGGUUCCUGGUGUUCCUAGAUUCAUAUUUGAGCCACCUGAGGAUAUGCCACAAAGUUCCAGUUACUCCGAUCUUGGCCAGCUUGCUUCACAAGGAAGUUUAGGAAUGUAUGAAACACCCCUCUUCCUAGCUUAUGAGGAAGAGUCUGGUGGCCGAAGUGUUCCUACUACUCCUCUACAAGUAGCAGCCCCAGUGACUGUAUUUACGGAGAGUACCACCUCUGACGCGUCAGAGCAUGCUUCUCAGUCUGUUCCAAUGGUGACAGCCUCCACUGGUACUUUGUCCACGUCAAAUGAAACAGCAACAGGAGAUGAUGGAGAUGAAGUAUUUGUGGAAGCAGAAUCUGAAGGUAUUAGUUUAGAAGCGGGCCUAGAAAUUGAUAGCCAGCAGGAGGAAGAGCCUGUUCAGUCAUCUGAUGAGUCGGAUUCCCUUCUACCAGCCAGGAUCCUCCUUCCAGCUCUUCUGUAGAUACUAGCAGUAGUCAGCCAAAGCCUUUUAGACGUGUAAGACUUCAGACAGCACUGAGACAAGGUGUCCGUACUCGUCAGUUUAACAGACAAAGAGGUGUAAGCCAUGCAAUGGGAGGAAGAGGAGGGAUAAAUAGAGGAAAUAUUAAUUAAAUGGUCUGUAAACUAUUAAUAGAUGUGAAUAAGAUUGUCAAAUCUGUUUUAGUAUAAUGAUUGUCGAAUUGAGAAACAUUUUUGUAUUUAAACUGAUAUGUUCAUUUCAACAUUCUUUAUUAAUAAAUUGUAUUUCAGUGUCAAAAAAUAAUAUUCAUAGGUACUGGAAUCAGCAUAUGAAAAUAUCUUUUUGGUGGUCACACAUGA